rnacentral:tRNA from 2 species
GGUGUGUUAGUUUAAUUGGUAGAACGUUGUGUUUCGGCCACAAAGAUUACAGGUUCAAAUCUUGUACACAUCU